GUUGCUGAGUUCGUUGAAAAUCAAGAUAUUAUUGAUAGGUUACAAACUAUAGGGAUUAAUUAUGCCCAAGGGUAUG
rnacentral:tRNA from 1 species